rnacentral:lncRNA from 1 species
CGGCGGUUGCGUUGGUGAGUGUAUGAUGACGCGAAGCGAUGGAGGAGGAAGACGGUGUGUGGUUGUUGGGUGGUGAAGAGGAAAAAUGGCGGUGGACGAAGAUGAUUGUGAUGGUUGUGCGGUUUGGUGAAUUAUACGAUGGUGGAAUGUGAGGAAGCGAGGGUUUUUGUGGAUGGUGGGAGAGUAUGGGUUUCAAGGUGUUUGUGAUAGUGAGAGCACGGAGAAGAGGAACGGAAUCCUCCUUUUUUUUUUUUUUUUUUUGCUGAGAGAGAGAGUAGGCUAGUGGGUGAUUUCGAGAGAUUUUU